rnacentral:lncRNA from 1 species
AGGCAUACCCAAGCUGGGACGGGCACGUACAAGGUGUGAAGGCAGCCGAAGACCCCACUACUUGCUCUGGCUCUGGCUUCGUCAAUGUAUUCAACUGCGAGUCGACAGGUGCGGCCGACUUCUGGCCCUCGACUGUGGAAUCCUUGACAGCUACGUUGCACCCGACCCGAUCUGUCCACCAAAAUUGAUCGCUUUCGAUCUUCACACCCACCGAGAGGUGGCCGGCGAUUCGUUUGUCCUCAUGGACGGAAUCAUCGGAACAGCCCUAUCGAACCCGGGUCCUCAGCGGGACUUCUUCUGGCAUCCGAUGUCCUCGAACAGCAUCUUCCGCGGUGAGCACGGCCGCCCCUGAAGGUCCCGCCAGCGGCCUCCGACCCUGACCCGCUCCCAGUGAGAAAGCUCGGCGAGAAGUCCUCGCAGUCCAUCCCGUUGGCCUACGACCCCGUCACCGAGGCCCUCGUCUUCAGCCCCGCCACCGAGUGCGCUCUCGUCUCCUGGAAGCUCGGAGAAAAGAACUACCGACUGCUGCUGCCUACGACCCGGUGACUCUGCAAUGGAUUUCAGAGAUCCGGCCGGCAAUCCUGGACGACAACCACAAUCUGGGUGGUGUCCUCGCGACUCCAGAAGUACGAGCACAACACGGUGAACCCGAACGAGGUCAACCAGCGGCCUCUUCCGCUUGGAGCGUGCCCAACACCCCGCAACCUAGGUUUCUCCCCCGUCUCCCCCCGUCUCCCCCGACGUCCCCCCUGCUCCACCCGGAACCCUUCGCUGCUGCCGUCCCCGACUACCCUCUCCAGAAUCAUCUCGUCCCCAUCCCCCUCCGCCUCGUUCGCGAAACCCAAGAGGAAAGAGAGACACCCCUAGGACUCGCGCGCUUCGCCUAAGAUCAGCGAUUAGAGGAAUCGAGCUCAACCCUCCUUUAAUGGACGAAAUUUUGGAAUUAGGGACUAUGAUUUCUGGCUCAUGCACAAAAACACCUAUGUGCCUAGAAAAACUAAUAGCACGCAGGUUGUGUUCUAAAAUAAGCCAGAAAUUGUAGUUCCUAAUUGCAAAAAGUGAUCCGAUUCGUCAUCGUGCAGGUAACGCCACCUUGGUAAGCGUCUACUGAUUUAUAUCAGAGGUGUGAAUAGGACGUGCGGCAUUGGCCUUCUGUAAGGAUAAUUUGGGUAGGUGAUAGAAAAUUUGUCGAAACUUGUAGUAGUUCCUAGAAGAUUCGUGUGAACUCUUGUAAUUACAUUGGGUGGCACUAAGAAUUUAAUCAACAUCGACAUUGCCAUAAUUUAUAAAAAAAAACAAUUUAAUGCAUGAAUAAAUCCUCAUUUGAGGAUUCCAUACAUCGUAAAUCCAGUUCUCACGAUUUUCCCGAGUUUUAGCUCCCCUCUUUUUUACUUUUGAAGUAAAUUGAUCAAAAUCGACAAUAGGGUAAUUAAAUCUUGAAUUAAAGAGUUAUCAUUGAGAUAAUGACCGAUGACAAUGUCCGUUUUUCUAUGGUAUCGCUCAUAGGGAUUUUUCGGAAAAUUUCUACAUAUUCAUAAAAUAUUAUAAGAGAGGGGAUUUUCGUGACUGAUUUUGCCUUAGAAAUCUACGGAUUUUUAAAAGUUCACGCAAAAAUUCUCCCUUUCAGCAUACUUUUGACAAAUUCAUUAUUACUUUUAUACCGUUCAUUUAUAUGAUCGAUAUGAACACUCAUUCCUCGCUCAUUUGUCAUUAUUUUCCCUCAAUAUGUUAAAUAGUUUCUAUUUUUCAGUAUAUGGGAUGAAAUGUUACGUGAAAUUUUUUUUCAAUUCGAAGAAGCACGAAGUAGUAAAGCUAAUUGUAAAUUACAUGGGAGCUAAUGAUUCACGUAAAUUUUGAACUUAAUUCUCAAGCAAAGAAAUGAUACAUGGUGUCUAAUCACCCUCCCCUCACAAAUUAUACCGAGACAUUCUUAACUCAAAAUUUUUAUAGCAUCCCUCUUGUUUUAAAAAAUUUCACUUAAAUACUUUUUCAGAGAUACCCCUUAAUUUCAGGUAAUAAAACAUAUCAUGCCUGGAGAGUCCUUUUUUAAGACUGUUUAAGUCAAUUGUAAUUUGUAAAUAUGAAUUGUAAAUUUUUUCGAAAGUAAAUAAUGUACAUUUUAAAAUUUGACAUAUUGUUGAUUUUUUCGGUAUCCUUAUUGUUUUUUAUGCUAUUCGUCAUUCGACGCACAGUGGAUCGAGUCAAUCAGAGAAGUCGGACAUGAAAUUUUUGAUUAGAACUGCAAAUUUUGAUGUUUAUUUCGUCACAUUUUAAAUUUAAAGAGGUGCUUUAAGAAGACAAUUUCACGAGAAAACCAAUGGAACCACUUUUAAAGCCACACAGUUUUGUAUAAACAUUGAAAGUUCCCAAAUUGUGUCCGACCUUUUCUAUUGACUCGAUCAACUGUGCGACGGGUGCGGCUGACAUACGAGCCAUUGACGACAAUUCUUUAUCUACGAUAGAGUUACCCCACAAAUUAUUUUUUCUGAUCGCUCAUUUGUGAGUCAUUAAAGGAACAAGAAUGUAAAAUGAUCACCUCUUUAGUCUCAUUUUGCUUAGCUACUCACAGAAUUCUAGAGACCCAGAGGUUCAAAAAUAUCCCACAAUGCAAAAUAAUUAUACAUGGUGAUCCAAAAGUCCCUUCCACCCCCUCUAACUUUUUACCUAAUUGAGGUAAAGAUUUGAAACUUGGGGAUGUCCCUAGGUCACAGGGAGCUACUUUUUGGCCCCCUAAAAUUUUCAGGGGGCCCCCUUUGGGGGACAACGGACCCCAACUUUUAAUUUUCAAAUGGGAAGACCCCUUUUGUGAUAGCUCGUUCGAAAGAGCAUAAAAAAGAAAACUUUUCGCGCGAACUCGAAGUCAAUAUCUCAAACGUUUCAAAAUGGCGGCCGGUGAAAAUUCAAAAUGGUUGAAAAUUGCCACCUUGGUUUUUUUGAUGAU